rnacentral:lncRNA from 1 species
AUGCCCCUCAUCACUAAGGACACUCUGUUUUUGCGGGUGGCCAGGACCAGGCCCUUUCCCUACGGCAGCUCUUUUCCAGGGCAGCUCUGGGAGCUUAAGGUCUCUGCACAGGCACUGGCACCCAGUGCUGGUCUGUGCUUGGGAAAUGGGAUGACAACCAGUCACCAGAAAACAAAGGCACAGAAUGAAGCAAAGGAACGAAAUGGGACCAUGAGAAGCUUCAUUCCUGUUUACCCAGAAGUUCUGCUCAUUAUGGCCAGGCCGAGUCUUGCUCUGUCACCCAAGCUGCAAUCUCUGCCUCCUGCAAUCUCACUGCAAUCUCUGACUCCCAGAUUCAAGCAAUUCUCCUGCCUCAGCCUUCCGAGUAGCUGGGAUUACAGAUGGACUUUCGCUCUUGUCACUCAGGCUGGAGUGCAAUAG